UACGAGGGGUGCAAGCGUUGCUCGGAAUUAUUGGGCGUAAAGGGCAAGUAGGUGGUCUCAUUUGUCUGGGGUGAAAGCCUUGAGCUUAACUCAAGAAGUGCCCCGGAAACGGUGAGACUCGAGUAUUGGAGAGGGUCGCGGAAUUCCCGGUGUAGAGGUGAAAUUCGUAGAUAUCGGGAGGAACACCAGUGGCGAAGGCGGCGACCUGGACGGACACUGACGCUGAGACGCGAAAGCGUGGGGAGCAAACAGG
rnacentral:rRNA from 1 species